UAAUAGCAAAAAAUGCAGAAAAAAAUUAUCGCUGGUUUAGGCGGUAUUUAGAUAUUUAAUUUUAACUAAUUUUAAUUUGAGAAGGAGUAGCUAAAUUUCGUCAACCCAUCUAAGAACUAUUUGGCUCAGUUGGUAAACGUUCGCUUUUUCUGUUUGCAGUUUUUCUGUUUGGGUCUGGGUUCGAUCCCCAGUAAUUGUAUGCUGGGAUAUUAUAACUUUUUGUAUUUUUUUACACAUAAAUUUCGUAUUGUUUUUCUUUAAUUUACUAUACACCGUGUUUUUAUUGAAUUCCGUUAACUUCGGGGUAUAGUUAAGUACGUUUAUAAGAACUAAAUGGCAUAGUUAAUUUUCAAAAAAAAAUUUUUUUUUGUUUUCUUUUUUGUUUUUUUUUUUGUUUAAAAAGUAAUUAAAUGUAGCAUAUAGCGUUGUUGUAACACGGGCAUUACAUUUAACUCAACCAAACAAUUGAAAUCUGUGACAUAUCAAUGUCAUUUCGUACAUCAAUCGACCGAGAUUGUACUUAAGUUUAGUAGCAAAUGUGUUAGAACAUAUAAACCUAUCAGGUUGUAAACCUUACGCCAUGAGCUGGCGACUAUUUUGUUUUGUCUGUGGUUUUUCUAUUUUGUCAGUUUAC